UCAGCAUCUCAGCCUUUUGGCUAAGAUCAAGAAUUUUUGGCACUAAGGGGAGGGUGUCAGGGCUGCCUCUGGCCCUCCUGGUUCUGGCCUGGUAUUGCAGUACCUCUAGGCCUGGUGCCAGUUCC
rnacentral:snRNA from 1 species